AACUCGCGGGAAGAGGAGGAAGAGGGAGGAGAGAGAGAGAGGGAGGCAGGCGGAGGGGGGCAGAAGAACCAGCCCUGCGUGGUAGCGCGGCCAACUUUCCUCCUGCAGCAGGAACGGCAUCACAUCCCCCGCAUGGUGAAGAGCACACCCCCUGCAUGCUGCAGCAUUGAGGAGGUGUUCCCUGCUUUCCUAAUAAAUGUACAUAAUAUGGGUCAUGAAAAUAAAGAGGAGUUCAGAUUCCCAUCUCUGGUCUCCUGCUGCAAGUCCUGUGGCAAGGAUGCAGUCCCACUGCUCUGCAGGAUGCCUGCCAAGAGCUUGCCGAGGAUGAUACAUUCUAGGCAUGCAGGUAGGUGACAGGACCUGGCCUCAGGUUUGUCUGCCUGGACAGACAAAGGGAAACUGCUGGACAUGACAAGAGAAGAUACUAGACUUGAGAAAUAACUGA